CAGCAAGCAUUUUGAUCAACAAAUAGCAUAAGAAAAAGAGGUCUCAGGUCUUAGGUAGGUGUAUAAAUGACUGCACAGCUGACUGUACACCUUGCUUUCCAAUAAAUAGGGGUCCACUGGGAAGAUGCCAAAGCUGGGAUAUGAUAAGUGAGCUUCCAGGAAACUUGGAAGUGGGGAGAAGAGAUUUCUGCUCCAUCUCCUGGAGGAAAUAGAAUUGGAGCAACACUUCUGGCUCCCCCUCCAUGGCCCUCACCUACUGCCUGCCCCUCUUCACUU
rnacentral:lncRNA from 1 species